rnacentral:lncRNA from 1 species
CUGUAGGCUUAUUUUGGCUCCAGUUAAGCUGACACCAUCAAACUCAUUUAGUUUAGAACUUGCAGACAUGGUUUCAGUAUCAGCUUUCUGCUGCAGUCCAGAAGAUUAAAGAAAAACUAGCUAAAACCAACAUUGGGCUUUUGCUGGGACAGCAGCUAUCUAUUGAAAAGCCUGGAAUUUUCAUCAGGGCUUAACACCUAGAACAACUCCCAGAGAAUGAAGAUAAUUCCCCC